rnacentral:rRNA from 1 species
UACGAAGGGGAGCUAGCGUUGCUCGGAAUCACUGGGCGUAAAGCGCACGUAGGCGGAUUGUUAAGUCAGGGGUGAAAUCCUGGAGCUCAACUCCAGAACUGCCUUUGAUACUGGCGAUCUUGAGUCCGGAAGAGGUGAGUGGAACUCCGAGUGUAGAGGUGAAAUUCGUAGAUAUCGGGAGGAACACCAGUGGCGAAGGCGGCGAUCUGGGAAGAUACUGACGCUGAGGAGCGAAAGCGUGGGGAGCGAACAGG